rnacentral:lncRNA from 1 species
CGGAAGGAGCAGUCCUCUGAAGCUUGAGGAGCCUCUAGAACUAUGAGCCCGAGGCCUUCCCCUCUCCCAGAGCGCAGAGGCUUUGAAGGCUACCUCUGGGAAGCCGCUCACCGUCGGAAGCUGCGGGAGCUGAAACUGCGCCAUCGUCACUGUCGGCGGCCAUGACACCGCUCGUCUCCCGCCUGAGUCGUCUGUGGGCCAUCAUGAGGAAGCCACGAGCAGCCGUGGGAAGUGGUCACAGGAAGCAGGCAGCCAGCCAGGAAGGGAGGCAGAAGCAUGCUAAGAACAACAGUCAGGCCAAGCCUUCUGCCUGUGAUGAGACGUAGCUGAAGUCACAGCCUUCCGAGGGAGCCUGCUAAGCUGGUACGACCAAGAGAAACGGGACCUACCAUGGAGAAGACGGGCAGAAGAUGAGAUGGACCUGGACAGGCGGGCAUAUGCUGGUCAGUACAUCUCCUGAGAGCAGGGCCACUUUGCCUCGAGGCCCUUGGGUCUGGGGGCUGUGGGCCAGGUAGGGGCAGGUCAGCAGUGUCCUCAUGCCAACCCCUUUCCCCCAGUGUGGGUCUCAGAGGUCAUGCUGCAGCAGACCCAGGUUGCCACUGUGAUCAACUACUAUACCGGAUGGAUGCAGGUGACUCCAGGGGAGGAAGGGAAGGGUCAUGGGUCAGACCCCAGAUGAGAGCCUCUACUUUGGGGUGGGUGUAGAGAAGGCUUCCUCUACCACCUUCACCCUUGACCUUGUCUCUUUCUGCCUGCCUGUGGCUAUAGAAGUGGCCUACACUGCAGGACCUGGCCAGUGCUUCCCUGGAGGUGAGAGCCACCCUAGGGUAGGGGAAAUAGGAACAAUAGAGGGACUGACGGGUGAUCUCUUUGACCUCUGAUCCUACCCACAGGAGGUGAAUCAACUCUGGGCUGGCCUGGGCUACUAUUCUCGUGGCCGGCGGCUGCAGGAGGGAGCUCGGAAGGUAAGGGGAUGGCAGGAGGGUAGGAACCCAGGAGUCUUGGGUGUCUUAUAAUCUUGAGUCUUGCACUCCAAUCAGGUGGUAGAGGA